rnacentral:rRNA from 1 species
UACGAGGGGUGCAAGCGUUGCUCGGAAUUAUUGGGCGUAAAGGGUAGGUAGGUGGUCUCAUUUGUCUGGGGUGAAAGCCUUGAGCUUAACUCAAGAAGUGCCCCGGAAACGGUGAGACUGGAGUCUCGGAGAGGGUCGUGGAAUUCCCGGUGUAGCGGUGAAAUGCGUAGAGAUCGGGAGGAACACCAGAGGCGAAGGCGGCGACCUGGACGAGUACUGACACUCAACUACGAAAGCGUGGGGAGCAAACAGG